rnacentral:siRNA from 1 species
UUUGGGUCCGAAUAGUAACAU